CCUACGGGUGGCAGCAGUGGGGGAUAUUGCACAAUGGGGGAAACCCUGAUCCAGCCACGCCGCGUGCGUGAAGACGUAUUUAGGUAUGUUAAGCUCCAUCAGUAGGGAAGAAAAUGACAGUACCUGUCUCAGUAGCAACGGAUAACUACGUGCCAGCAGCGGCGGUAAUACGUAGGGGGCAAGCGUUAUCCGGAUUUAUUGGGUGUAAAGGGGGCGUAGGUGGUUUUGUAAGUCUGGGGUGAAAGCGCGGGGCCCAACCCCGGGACUGCUUUGGAAACUGUGUAACUGGAGUUCAGGAGGGGCAGGCGGAAUGCCUGGUGUAGCGGUGAAAUGCGUAGAUAUCAGGAAGAACACCGACGGCGAAGGCAGCCUGCUGGGCUGAAACUGACGUUGAGGCACGAAAGCGUGGGGAGCAAACAGGAUUAGAUACCCUGGUAGUC
rnacentral:rRNA from 1 species